CAUGCCUAUACAUGCAAGUCGAGCGGACUAUGCAUGAGAAGCUUGCUUCCUCUGAUAGGUUAGCGGCGGACGGGUGAGUAACACGUAGGCAACCUGCCCUCAAGUUUGGGACAACUACCGGAAACGGUAGCUAAUACCGAAUAGUUGUUUUCUUCUCCUGAAGAGAACUGGAAAGACGGAGCAAUCUGUCACUUGGGGAUGGGCCUGCGGCGCAUUAGCUAGUUGGUGGGGUAACGGCUCACCAAGGCGACGAUGCGUAGCCGACCUGAGAGGGUGAUCGGCCACACUGGGACUGAGACACGGCCCAGACUCCUACGGGAGGCAGCAGUAGGGAAUCUUCCGCAAUGGGCGAAAGCCUGACGGAGCAAUGCCGCGUGAGUGAUGAAGGUUUUCGGAUCGUAAAGCUCUGUUGCCAGGGAAGAACGCUUGGGAGAGUAACUGCUCUCAAGGUGACGGUACCUGAGAAGAAAGCCCCGGCUAACUACGUGCCAGCAGCCGCGGUAAUACGUA
rnacentral:rRNA from 1 species